AUUGAACGCUGGCGGCAGGCCUAACACAUGCAAGUCGAGCGGAUGACGGGAGCUUGCUCCUUGAUUCAGCGGCGGACGGGUGAGUAAUGCCUAGGAAUCUGCCUGGUAGUGGGGGACAACGUUUCGAAAGGAACGCUAAUACCGCAUACGUCCUACGGGAGAAAGCAGGGGACCUUCGGGCCUUGCGCUAUCAGAUGAGCCUAGGUCGGAUUAGCUAGUUGGUGGGGUAAUGGCUCACCAAGGCGACGAUCCGUAACUGGUCUGAGAGGAUGAUCAGUCACACUGGAACUGAGACACGGUCCAGACUCCUACGGGAGGCAGCAGUGGGGAAUAUUGGACAAUGGGCGAAAGCCUGAUCCAGCCAUGCCGCGUGUGUGAAGAAGGUCUUCGGAUUGUAAAGCACUUUAAGUUGGGAGGAAGGGCAGUAAGUUAAUACCUUGCUGUUUUGACGUUACCGACAGAAUAAGCACCGGCUAACUCUGUGCCAGCAGCCGCGGUAAUACAGAGGGUGCAAGCGUUAAUCGGAAUUACUGGGCGUAAAGCGCGCGUAGGUGGUUUGUUAAGUUGGAUGUGAAAGCCCCGGGCUCAACCUGGGAACUGCAUCCAAAACUGGCAAGCUAGAGUACGGUAGAGGGUGGUGGAAUUUCCUGUGUAGCGGUGAAAUGCGUAGAUAUAGGAAGGAACACCAGUGGCGAAGGCGACCACCUGGACUGAUACUGACACUGAGGUGCGAAAGCGUGGGGAGCAACAGGAUUAGAUACCCUGGUAGUCCACGCCGUAAACGAUGUCAACUAGCCGUUGGAAUCCUUGAGAUUUUAGUGGCGCAGCUAACGCAUUAAGUUGACCGCCUGGGGAGUACGGCCGCAAGGUUAAAACUCAAAUGAAUUGACGGGGGCCCGCACAAGCGGUGGAGCAUGUGGGUUUAAUUCGAAGCAACGCGAGAACCUUACCAGGCCUUGACAUGCAGAGAACUUUCCAGAGAUGGAUUGGUGCCUUCGGGAACUCUGACACAGGUGCUGCAUGGCUGUCGUCAGCUCGUGUCGUGAGAUGUUGGGUUAAGUCCCGUAACGAGCGCAACCCUUGUCCUUAGUUACCAGCACGUUAAGGUGGGCACUCUAAGGAGACUGCCGGUGACAAACCGGAGGAAGGUGGGGAUGACGUCAAGUCAUCAUGGCCCUUACGGCCUGGGCUACACAUGUGCUACAAUGGUCGGUACAGAGGGUUGCCAAGCCGCGAGGUGGAGCUAAUCUCACAAAACCGAUCGUAGUCCGGAUCGCAGUCUGCAACUCGACUGCGUGAAGUCGGAAUCGCUAGUAAUCGCGAAUCAGAAUGUCGCGGUGAAUACGUUCCCGGGCCUUGUACACACCGCCCGUCACACCAUGGGAGUGGGUUGCACCAGAAGUAGCUAGUCUAACCUUCGGGAGGACGGUUACCACGGUGUGAUUCAUGACUGGGGUGAAG
rnacentral:rRNA from 1 species